AAAGAAUUCAAAAACGAGAAAUAAAUACAAAUUGAAAGACGAGAAAUAUAUCACUCAUUAUUUUUUAAAAUAUAUCGAAUUGUUAAAUCGAGUAACUAGGUAGCAGCACCAAUUCUCAUAGUGACAUCAGAACUUUGCUGAGUAUUCUAUAUUUUUAGUAGAGGGCAUUGAAAUCCCUAUGAAGUUUUAAAUUUGUCGAUUAGUGUCAGUUUACGCGUUCGAGUGUUUCGACAAGAAAAUUAAUAGAAAUUGUAAAAAAUAAGAAUUCGAAAUCUCAGUGAUGAACUUGUGAGAAAAAGAAUUUGUGUAUAGUGUCUUUUGCAUUAUUAUAUUAAAAUUGAAACAAACAAUAUCAAUUGAUGCAGCAUAGUUAGAAUUUUGUUCAGAUUGCAUUCUGCAAUCUUUAACACAAAUUCAAGCAUAAAUAACAUAUAAUUUCAUGAAAUCGUAUUAUGUUCGAAUAUUUGUAUAAAUAAAUUAACGAAAGAUAGCAGAUAAAUGUUUGAAAUUUUCAUUCUUACGUAAAAAAAUUUAUAGCAAUUUUUAUAAUAAAAAAAUAUAUAAAAUAAAAUUAUCGAAUAUCUUUAUUAAUCGUUGCACUAAUAGAAGUUUUACACAGCAGUUUUCGUUUUUCAAUAACAGAUUAAAAUAUAAUAGUUACUACAAAAUCAUAAAAUCAGUCAGGCGUUAUAUUUAUUCGAUAAUCUUGACCAAAAUGGAAGAAUUUAUAGACGAGAAAUAUAUGCAAAUUAAAAAACGAGAAGUUUAUCUUUCUCUAUUUCCUAUUUUUUUUUUUUUUUUUUUUUUAAAUAUACUGAAGUGCUAAAUCGAGUAACUAGAUAGCAGCACCAAUUCUCAUAGUGACAUUAGAACUCUGCUGAGUAGUCUAUAUUUUUAAAUAGAGGGCGUUGAAGUCCCUAUGUAAUUUUAAAUUUGUCGAUUAGCAUCAGUUUACGCGUUCGAGUCUUUCAAUAAGAAAAUUGAUAGAAAAUAAAAAGUAAAAAAUAAAAUUUCGAAAUCUCAGUGAUAAACUUAUGAGAAGUGUAUAGUGGCUUUUGCAUAAUUAUAUUAAAAUUGAAGCACCAAAUAACAUCAAUUGAUGCAGUGCAGUUAGAAUUCUAUUCAGGUGACAUUCUGCAAUCUUCAACAUGAAUUCAACCAGAGAUCUUUCGUAGUGCCUUCAUGAGAGAGAACGUACCCUUGGCAAUUCUCACCCAGUCCGGAUGAUAAACACCAAUGCAAAUUAGCAAGAUCGCGUGGAUGGUGUCGCGAGAGUUGCAUUUACGACAACCCAGCGUCUUAACGACGACAAGACUAAGUACUACAAUCACGGUAAAUCUUGGCAGUUUUGUUACCGUGAACUGUAAUAUAUCAGUGAACGAAACAAAUAGGGUAAGAGAGAGCUCACUCGCACGCCAAGAAUCGCCGAUUGCGUAAGAGCGGAAUAAGAAGCGGCGACCGGAUGGAUGUGAAUAAAUCGGGUCGCUUGCUCGCCGGAAGAAUUG